AGAGUUUGAUCAUGGCUCAGGGCUAACGCUGGCGGCGUGUCUUAGCCAUGCAAGUCGAGCGGUCCUAUGGGGCGACCUAUAGGAUAGCGGCGGACGGCGGAGUAACACGUAGCUAACCUACCCUCCGGACGGGGAUAACCAUUCGAAAGGGUGGCUAAUACCCGAUGGAGUCAUCCGCAAGGGUGAUGAAAGGUGGGCCUCUGUUUACAAGCUCAUGCCGGGGGAGGGGGCUGCGGCCUAUCAGGUAGUUGGUGGGGUAAAGGCCCACCAAGCCUAUGACGGGUAGCCGGCCUGAGAGGGUGACCGGCCCGAGGGACACUGAGACACGGGUCCCACUCCUACGGGAGGCAGCAGGCUAGAAAUUUGGGCAAUGGGGGAAACCCUGACCCAGUGACGCCGCGUGCAGGAAGGAGCCCUUCGGGGUGUAAACUGCUGUCGUGCGGGGCGAAGGGUUUAUAGGCGAAUAGUCUAUAGACUUGACGGUACCGCAGGAGGAAGCCCAGGCUAACCUCGUGCCAGCAGCCGCGGUAAUACGGGGUGGGCGAGCGUUGCCCGGAAUUACUGGGUUUAAAGGGGGUGUAGGCGGUCUGGAUAGUCAGGUGUGUAAUCCAAUCGCUCAACGAUUGGACUGCAUCUGAUACUUUCAGGCUAGAGGGCGGUAGAGGAGAGCGGAACUCCCGGUGUAGCGGUGAAAUGCGUAGAUAUCGGGAGGAACGCCGGUGGCGAAGGCGGCUCUCUGGGCCGUUCCUGACGCUGAGGCCCGAAAGCUGGGGGAGCGAAAGGGAUUAGAUACCCCUGUAGUCCCAGCCGUAAACGAUGGGCACUAGGUGUGCCUCUAUAUAGGGGUGUGCCGACGGGAAACCAUUAAGUGCCCCACCUGGGGAGUACGCCCGCAGGGUGAAACUCAAUGAAUUGACGG
rnacentral:rRNA from 1 species